GAGAAACACUUAUGGGGCUGGACUUGCUUUAGUGGGGCUUCAGUGCUCACUGAGUCUGCCCCUUGAGGGUGUCACU
rnacentral:pre_miRNA from 1 species